rnacentral:tRNA from 1 species
GAGUAGCUCAGUUGGUUAGAGCAGCGGAAUCAUAAUCCGCGUGUCGGGGGUUCAAGUCCCUCUC